rnacentral:rRNA from 1 species
ACGAACGCUGGCGGCGCGCCUAACACAUGCAAGUCGAACGGAGUCAAGAGGAGCUUGCUUUUCUUGACUUAGUGGCGAACGGGUGAGUAACGCGUGAGUAACCUGCCCUGGAGUGGGGGACAACAGUUGGAAACGACUGCUAAUACCGCAUAAGCCCACGGAUCUGCAUGGAUCUGCGGGAAAAGGAUUUAUUCGCUCUAGGAUGGACUCGCGUCCAAUUAGCUAGUUGGUGAGGUAACGGCCCACCAAGGCGACGAUUGGUAGCCGGACUGAGAGGUUGAACGGCCACAUUGGGACUGAGACACGGCCCAGACUCCUACGGGAGGCAGCAGUGGGGGAUAUUGCACAAUGGGGGAAACCCUGAUGCAGCGACGCCGCGUGGAGGAAGAAGGUUUUCGGAUUGUAAACUCCUGUCGUUAGGGACGAUAAUGACGGUACCUAACAAGAAAGCACCAGCUAACUACGUG